AGAGUUUGAUCAUGGCUCAGGACGAACGCUGGCGGCGUGCUUAACACAUGCAAGUCGAACGAUGAUCCGGUUUCGGCCGGUGAUUAGUGGCGAACGGGUGAGUAACACGUGGGUAAUCUGCCCUGCACUCUGGGAUAAGCCUGGGAAACUGGGUCUAAUACCGGAUAUGACCUUCGGUCGCAUGAUCGUUGGUGGAAAGCUUUUGCGGUGUGGGAUGGGCCCGCGGCCUAUCAGCUUGUUGGUGGGGUGAUGGCCUACCAAGGCGACGACGGGUAGCCGGCCUGAGAGGGUGACCGGCCACACUGGGACUGAGACACGGCCCAGACUCCUACGGGAGGCAGCAGUGGGGAAUAUUGCACAAUGGGCGCAAGCCUGAUGCAGCGACGCCGCGUGAGGGAUGACGGCCUUCGGGUUGUAAACCUCUUUCAGCAGGGAAGAAGCGCAAGUGACGGUACCUGCAGAAGAAGCACCGGCUAACUACGUGCCAGCAGCCGCGGUAAUACGUAGGGUGCAAGCGUUGUCCGGAAUUAUUGGGCGUAAAGAGCUCGUAGGCGGCUUGUCGCGUCGGUUGUGAAAGCCCGGGGCUCAACUCCGGAACUGCCUUUGAUACUGGGUGUCUUGAGUGUGAGAGAGGUGAGUGGAACUCCGAGUGUAGAGGUGAAAUUCGUAGAUAUUCGGAAGAACACCAGUGGCGAAGGCGACUCACUGGCUCAUUACUGACGCUGAGGCUCGAAAGCGUGGGGGAGCAAACAGGAUUAGAUACCCUGGUAGUCCACGCCGUAAACGAUGAUUGCUAGUUGUCGGGGAGCUUGCUCUUCGGUGACGCAGCUAACGCAUUAAGCAAUCCGCCUGGGGAGUACGGUCGCAAGAUUAAAACUCAAAGGAAUUGACAAUCUCUAGAGGAUCCCCGGGUACCGA
rnacentral:rRNA from 1 species